UAUUAAAAUAUGUUUACUCAAUAUAUUUUUAUGUUGAUGGCAUAUAAGAUCAUCUACAAGGAGAGAAAAAAUGGAAAAUGAAGAAGAAGUACUUGAAAUUGAAGUUGAUGCAGAGGGUGAUGAAGAUCUAAGAGAAGCAGAGCAACCUGCCGUGGCAGUGGAUGGGCCAGAUUUUCCAAUGAGCUAAAAGACCACAACCCAGCUCAACCCAAUUGCCUUCCUUCUUUAAUUUUACGUACAACCCCCCCCCCCCCCAUUUUGUAAAAAUGUUGUCCUUGUGGUGGAUGCAUGAAAAUCACAUCUAUGUAUUUUGUUCAUUAUUGAAAAUCACAUCUAUGUAUUUGUGUAUUAUUGUUUCAUUUCAGAAGAUCAUCC